AUGGUGAUAAUGGGAAAGAUCCUAGAGUUGGCGGCAGUGUCGGUGGAACUAGUGCAGUUACCAAGAACUCAACCCAACACUCACCAAGGUAAACAGGGUAGUUGAGGAUACUUGGUUCGAGGCUUUAGGAGCUUAGGACUUGAAUCCUCUAUUUUACCUUUUUGUGUUGUAAAAUUGCUAUUUGGAUGAUUGUAUUCGUAAUCAUUUAACUUACUAACAUUUUUGUGUAAUGCUGGAUAUUAGUAACUAUGGGUAUUUUGGAAACCCAUAAUUAAACAUAUGCGGUAAUUACCGAUGAAAGUUAUAUAUGAAUUAUGUUUUCCGCAAUAUGAGAUAUAUGUUAACAUCAUGUACUAUAAAGGUAGUUUUACGAAGUGAUUAUGAAGGAAAAUUAGAGUAAGAUGUGAAAUGUAUGUAUAAAAGGAUUGAAAUAAAGGAAAAAUUUUCAAGGUAGAAUUUGGGUCCUUACAAGGGGAGCAUACAUAUAGGGGGAGCAUACCCAAGACAAGUUAGGAUAUAUCAUCCAAUAUGCUACUCUAAAAAAAUACACCUUCAAGAAGAUAUUGGUUUGUCAUCAUAAAAAGUGGGAGAUUGUGAAGAAGAUCUUGCUCUUGACCUUGGCACGGUUUUGAUGAAGACACCAACAUCACAAAAAGAAGAAAGGAAGAAGACCUACCAAGGCUAUCGAAGACAAAGCUUCAAGAUUUAGAGUCUAAGUCUUUAGGUACUUCUAGCCUUACAACUACUGUAUUAUCUUAGUUAAUAAUGUUCAAAAUUGUUUUCAAGAAAAUCAGAAAAAUCAAAGUGUGAAUAAAAAUAAUUUUCAAAACAACAUGUAACGGGUUACCAUACUUGAGUAACAAGUUACAUGAGUGAGAAAAAGACUUAUCCAUCCUCCAACGGCUAAGAGUAAUCCAUUAUUGUCUUUGAAGUAACAGAUUACCAUUUUUAGAAAACAGGGUAAUCGAUUACUCAAAGAAGUGUAAUCGAUUACAUUAAGGCAAUUUCACAAAGCUGCUAGACAGUACCUUUGAGUAAUCGACUACUCAAAUACAGUAAUCGAUUACACUGUGU